UCCACGUGUCGGCGACCAAGAGAGAGGGAGGUCGGUGAGCCGAACCUUGGGUGCGAGGUUUUGGGCCGCAGCAUGGCUCGGCCCGGAGCGGGAGGAAAGAGAGCGCAGGGAGGUGGGAGUGAGCGGCCUAGGGAAAGAGUUGGGCCGCCUAGGAAAAAGAGGAGGGGAAGGGGAGGAGAGGUCGGCUAGAGGGAGGAUGAGUGGGCCGGAAGGA
rnacentral:lncRNA from 1 species